rnacentral:rRNA from 1 species
UGGCGACCGGCGCACGGGUGCGUAACGCGUAUGCAACCUACCUUUAACAGGGGGAUAACACUGAGAAAUUGGUACUAAUACCCCAUAAUAUCAUAGAAGGCAUCUUUUAUGGUUGAAAAUUCCGAUGGUUAGAGAUGGGCAUGCGUUGUAUUAGCUAGUUGGUGGGGUAACGGCUCACCAAGGCAACGAUACAUAGGGGGACUGAGAGGUUAACCCCCCACAUUGGUACUGAGACACGGACCAA